ACCCUCUCAGGGUCACACCUGAGGAGUUUCCAGUACUCUGGCAGGCUUGACUUUGAGAGGGAGAGUCAAGCAGAGGCCUAUCCAUUCCAUUCCCAGCUUGGGCAGUGACUAGAAAGUGGAAGACAAUCUGCUACAAGU
rfam:Ornithorhynchus anatinus chromosome 7, whole genome shotgun sequence.